rnacentral:pre_miRNA from 1 species
UUAACUCAUAUUUGUAUGGAAUGGGAUCGUUUGCAUACGUUUGCCGUCAGGGGCGCUGUUCCAAUUGCAUACAAUUUUGGCUUA